GGCAGGUCAAUGUACUGUGCUCCAGCUUCAGCAUCAGAGAAGACAUCGACUGUCAUCACGAAGAAACACAUCAGGUAAGUCAGUAGCAAAGCGACCGAACUCACAUCGGCGACUUUUCACGUUUCACGCGUCAGGAAGAACCGCCGAUUGUUGUCGGAGUUCGGGUUGCACAUACCCAGAAACUUAACUGGCGCAAGAAUGAAUGUGGGUUUGAAGAAACUGCUGUAUCAGGUUUAAACUGGAUUUAUUGGCGUUGGAUAAUCCUGGAUACAGUCGCCAGGCUGCGACACCAUAUGGGGGUCACUUUGCGGCGAUUUUCUUUCCGUCAGUCGGAACGUCACUGGUUUGACCGAGCUCACAUGUUUUCAUCUGAUCUGCGCAUCGAAGGGAGUGUCCUUCAGCCACGAUAAAUAUGAGAUGCGUUUUCAGACUGAAGAAGCCGUCGACUUUUUGUUUCGAUUUUCCCACGAGGACUCAUUACCGAACUGAAAACGCAAAUUCCGGCGUCGCUAUGCCUCGUUGUAAUUUCUUGCACCAAAUGACUCGCGGUCAUGCGUACUUUCAGUCUUACUGCGUUGUUUGUUGAGUUGUGCAACUGCAGUAAACACCCGGAACUCUGUUGUGCGUCCUCCACGAUCGACGACAUUGAAACAUCGGAUUAAGACCCGUGCAUUUAUAUGCAGAUCUGUGUUACAGAAGACAUCAAGAAUACCAACAUUACAGGCCCCUGCUCAUAUCCUGUGCCUCAUCAUGGCGAGUGGGUGAAACAAAGAACAGUGCGCGACUGAAAUCGAAAUAAUUGUUACAGCGACUGCAUAACCUUCCAGUUUGGUUGAACUGUUUUAUCUAUGCUACUGAAACUUGCCUUGAUCAUCUGGCCCCUAUUCUGCUCUGGGUCCCAGCCAACCUGUGACAGCACCUUGAUGCCUGAC